rnacentral:ncRNA from 1 species
UGACCAAGGGGUCGGGACGUUCUGCCUGUUUCAGGGGCGGAGUGACCUACGGGUACAGGGAGUACCUGCGCAAGGGCCGGGUCUGGAAAAGC